UACUUUGCGCAGUGGCCGUAUCAUAGCCAAUGAGGUUUAUCCAAGGUGUGAUUAUUGCUAACUGAAAACUUUCCCCAAUACUGUGCUGUGACAACUUAAAAUAUAGUUGGCACUGGCAAUUUUUCACAGUCUCUACAGAGA